rnacentral:tRNA from 1 species
GUGUCCAGGGAUGGGAAUCGAACCCACAGUGUUCCGCUUACCGGGCAGAUGCCAUGUCCACUAGGCUAUUGAUA